rnacentral:rRNA from 1 species
GAUGAACGCUAGCGGCAGGCCUAAUACAUGCAAGUCGAGGGGCAGCAUAGUCUUCGGACUGAUGGCGACCGGCGCACGGGUGCGUAACGCGUAUGCAACCUACCCACUACAGGGGGAUAGCUUUCGGAAACGGAAAUUAAUACCCCAUAACACAUAAGUAUCGCAUGGUACUAAUGUUAAAGAUUUAUCGGUAGUGGAUGGGCAUGCGUAAGAUUAGAUUGUUGGUGAGGUAACGGCUCACCAAGUCUACGAUCUUUAGGGGUUCUGAGAGGAUGAUCCCCCACACUGGUACUGAGAUACGGACCAG